CGUGAGCGAUCUACCCGACAGUGGGGGAUAACCCAGGGAAACCUGAGCUAAUACCGCAUGUUGCGCCGGCUUAGAAGCCGAGCGUUAAAGCGGGCCUCUCUUUGAAGCUCGUGCUGUCGGAUGGGCUCGCGGCCUAUCAGCUUGUUGGUGGGGUAACGGCCUACCAAGGCGAUGACGGGUAGCUGGCGUGAGAGCGCGACCAGUCACACUGGACUGAGACACGGCCCAG
rnacentral:rRNA from 1 species